AAAGUGUAGGAUAUACGCGGCAGUUGGCUCGAGAGAGGUAGGAACUAUGGACGAGAGGAGAAAGAGGAGGGAGGGAAUAGGAUGAGAAGGAGAAGGAGUAUAGUGGUAGUAUAAAGGGCGCAAGAAAUGGAAGAGGGGGAGAAGAAGAAGAAGUAAUUUACGAGCUUUGCAUAAAUACACGCGCGAGGAGGGUCAGAUGAUCGCAACGGCGGAGUGGUCGAGCAGAGCAUUGUGGCGGUCGGAGGGUGAGCGACCGAGCGUUCGAGCGGUGCGUAGCGGCUGAGCCGGUAGCAGCGGUGGUUAGCUGAGCAGGACGAAGUAUGUAGUGGACGAAAUACGGCAAAGACCGCGGCGUCGACGAGGGUUAUUUGGCGGGGUGAAAUUCGGAGGGAUGAUUUCGGAAGGGUCGCCGAUUGCAGGAAGAUGUGUACACUGGGAGUCUGCGUGUGACCUCUACUCGUGGCCACCAGGCAGCGCACUGUUCGAAAAUCACCCUACCUCCACGCACGUCCUGGUCCGAGAAAAGGGCGCGCCGCCGCCCCGAUCGAUACAGCCCGACGAGCCGGGACCACCGAGCAACCCCGAAAAACCAACGCCCGACGUGCGAUACUCCGACGGCAGACUCUAGGCAGACAACACGACUGUUCACUCUCUUCAUUCUGGUCAGCGACAGCCAGCGAGCAGGUCCUCUCUCGCAUUGCUCUUGUCGUCACCAAUGAUGACUCACUCACCGAGCGGGACACUCCACCGCUACUGACGUCACCGCUGCUACUGUCCGGUCGUACUACACGACUGUAUGAGUACCAUUUGGUCGAGUGGUAAUUGUACAGAGGGCCACCAAUCUUCAUCAUCAUCACACGGUGGUUAUGGAAACCGUCCGUCUUCGGUGUAGUGAUGCUCUACAUCUACCCUGUAGAUCCGAAUUUGUUUGAAAAACGGCGACAAAUUCGGUUCUAGAGAGGUUUGUGUGGUGCAUAUUCCUUACGACCAGAAUUUUUAUCGUCCAUGUGUGGUGGCCCCGACGGCAGCUUAGUUGUUAAAUAUAUAUAUAUUAUAUUAUAUCAUAUUAUACAUUUAUUUUGUACUUAUUAUACAUAUAUAUAUCAUAUAUAUAUAAAUAUUUAUAAGCACUGAUCAUCAACAUAAAACAAAUUAUGUUAUGUACUUUUUUAUGACUGAAAUAUACAAACAAUAAUUAUAACUACAUACCUAUAUUAUAUUUCAACGUUUAAUUUCAAACAUUUAAAAAAAUGAAUACUACCAAAUUGUUCUAAGAUUUUUAUAAAAAAAACCAACUUGACGAUAAUGUUAUAAAUACUUCGUACCUAUAAGAAAAAAUAAUUUAAAUUGUAUUAUUAAAUUGUUAUAUGUAAAUUUGUUAUAAGAAACAAUGUGUUUAAUAAAUCUUAAAGUUUAAUCAAGUGAUGUUUAAAUUUGUAUUUAUCUUACUAAGUAUUUACUCGUAAUUAACAUUAAUUAUAUAUCAUAACAAAAUAUGUUACUUUUAUUUUUGGGUGCUUUUCAUGAGGUGAGCAGUAAUUUACAUAAUUGCGACUUGAUGAAAAAUAUCCUAAAAUGAAAGUUUGUAUUAUUAUACAUUAUAUUGUUUACAAGUUAGUGUAUAAUUUUUUGAAUUAGAAAAAUAUGAUUAAUUAUAAUAUUUUGUAAAGUGAUAGUUGUAUUUAUCGAUAUCCUAUAUUUAGUAUUUACUUUUAAUUAUACCUAAAUGAUAUUAAUAGACUGAUUUAAUACCUUAAUAUUUAACUUUUA